CAAUAGCGUAUAUUAAAAUUGUUGCAGUUAAAAAGCUCGUAGUUGGAUUUCUGGUGGGAGCGAUCGGUCUGGCGCUUAGCGCGAGUACUUGCAUCGUCUCCGGCCAUCCUUGGGGAGAGUCUGUCUGGCAUUAGGUUGUCGGGCAGAGGAUCCUCAUCGUUUACUGUGAAAAAAUUAGAGUGUUCAAAGCAGGCUUAUGCCGUUGAAUAUAUUAGCAUGGAAUAAUAAGAUAGGACUUUGGUACUAUUUUGUUGGUUUGCGCACCAAAGUAAUGAUUAAUAGGGACAGUUGGGGGUAUUCGUAUUCCGUUGUCAGAGGUGAAAUUCUUGGAUUUACGGAAGACGAACUACUGCGAAAGCAUUUACCAAGGAUGUUUUCAUUAA
rnacentral:rRNA from 1 species